rnacentral:misc_RNA from 1 species
GACAGAGACUACGAGCGAUAUCGGAAGUGACUGGGCGUAAAGGGUCCGUAGGCGGCAUGGCGCGUCGUCGGUGAAAGCCCCGGGCUUAACCCGGGACACGCCGACGAUACGGCCAAGCUAGAGGAUAUGAGGGGCUGAUGGAACUCACGGUGGAGGGGUGGAAUCCGUUGAGAUCGUGGGGAACACCAAAGGCGAAGGCAUUCAGCUGGCAUACUCCUGACGCUGAGGGACGAAAGCGUGGGGAGCAAAAAGG